UUUUAAUUAUAGUUUUAAAAAAUAGUUUAAAAUGUUUUUUUAAAAUGAAAUCCAAGUAUACAGUUGACCCUUGAACAACACAGUGGUUAGAGGCACUGACCUCCUGUGCAGUCGAAAAUCCACCUAUAACUUUGACUCCUUAAAACUUAACUACUAAUAUCCUACUAUUGACCAGAAGCCUUACCAAUAAUAUCAACAGUCAACCAGCACAUAUUUAGUAUGUUAUAUAUAUUAGGUACUGUAUCCUUAACAUAAAGUAUGCUAGAGAAAGGAGAAUGUUAUUAAAAUCAUAAGGGAGAGAAAAUAUAUUUACAGUACUGUACUGUAUUUAUUGAAAAAAAAAUCUGUGUGUAAGUGGACCCACAUAGUUCAAAUUCAUGUUGUUCAAAGGUCAACUGUAUAAAAAAAUAAAAUUCUAAUCAAAUAAAAUUAAGAGAUGAAAGUCAAAUCAUGACCUCUCAGUCACUCUUGGCAAUCUUUGACAAAUCAGGAAAGAUGUAAGAAGCACUGGGUGACCAGGGAUGACAAAGAACAGUAUGCACAGACCCGUAGAAAGCACAUCAGCUUUUGUACAUACAAAUUGGCUUCAAAUCCUAAUUCUGCCAGUUACCUAAGGUCUGGUAGCUAGUACCCUAUCAAAUACAGAGCACCAGUUUUUUCAUCUGUAAAAUGGGGACAAUACCACCUGCCUCAGAGUGGUUGGGGGAGUAAGGGAGAACAUAGCUAAAGUGUCCAGCACACGUAGCCGCCCCCACCCAAAUGCUAGUUCUCAUCUCUUCUGUAUCCCAUAACAAAGUCAAAUAUACUGGACUGGGAAGGGAUCUGACUGCCUUUAGAAAGUGUGCCUCUUAACUUGUUUUUCCAGAGGCAAAGAUGGACUUGCGUCUGUCUGUCUGCAACCACACCCGGCCCUCCUUGCCACCAGUGACACAUUUGCAAGAUUGUAUACAGGCCCCGGACAGAAACAUUUAACACAAGUGGAGGUGCUGGCCAUCCUUAUUUUAGAGAGAAAAUGACCAGAAUCAUGCCCAUGGACCAGCCACCAGAAUUCCGACAACCCCACCAUACGAUGGAAAGGUGCAAAAAGUACAGCUGGUGUCCCUCUGGCCACUGGGAGGAAAGAAGGAGGGCCAGCUCCUUCACACAUAAUCCAAUUGGAGAGAGUAUGGAAGUGGUUAUCUGUCUAAGUGGUUCUCAGUCUUUCUCCCCUGAGAUAGACUAUGGGACUGAAGCAGCAGUGAAUCACUGAUGUAGAAGAUACAAGAGCUGCAGUGGUGGUAGGAGCUCUCCAAAGCAGCUGAGAAAGUAUGGGGUGUGUGUGUGUGUGUGUGUGUGUGUGUGUGUGUGUGUGUGUGUAACCCUGAACCAAAUGUCCUUGGCCCAUGGACAGAGAUUGCCAACCCUUGAUCUAAUAUGUUGUUGUACUUUCGUCUUUUAAGGUUUUCAAACACCAGGGCACCUGGGUGGCUCAGUUAGUUGGGUGUACGACUUCGGCUCAGGUCAUGAUCUCAUGGUUCUUGAGUUCGGCACCACGUUGGGCUCUGUGCUGACAGCUCAGAGCCUGGAACCUGCUUCUAAUUCUGUGUGUUUCUCUCUCUCUGCCCCUCCCCUGCUUUCACUCUGUCUCUCUCUCUCAAAAAUAAAUUCUAAAUUUUUAAAAAAAUUAAUAAAAAAAGAUUUUUCAAACACCUUGUUCCUGCAAGAAGCAAUAAGAGCUAAUGAGAAGCAGACAGUACCCUGGGUUCCAUCUCUCACUUCACUAGGGCCUGCCACAGUUUGGAACAGUUUUGAUCGCUGCCCUAUGCCCUCUUGUUUAGAGGUGCUGUCUGCACUCUGGGAUGCAGGGGUUAGGUUUCUUAUUUUUCCUGAAAAAUGGUGCUAGUGUCAUUGGCUGUUAAAAAUGAGACAGGUGUGCCCGCUUUGGCAGCACAUCUACUGAAAACACUGGAGCGACACAGACAAGAUUAGCGUGGCCCCUGUUCAAGGGUGACAGGCAAACCUGUGAAACCUUCCAUACAAAAAUAAGAACUUUUAAAAUAGGACAUAGGCAAGAAAGCUUUUGCAUUUGGAUGAGAUGUUUUCUGUGUUUGGCUUAUCCUGCUUAGUUCUUUCUUCCUUACUUUAUGGACAUGCAAGAAAGAACACAUGCUCAUAGUAUUGGAGGCAGGUGCUGAACUUCCUAGGUGGCAGCCCUCCUGAAAUGUAUUCUUGCAUGCACAAAUGCAAAGACCCUUGUUGACCUGCUCUCUCAAUGCUUUGGAAACUCUGGGGAAUGGUGAUGUGGUCACUGUUAGAACAGAGCAACAAACAAAUCUGGUGUAAUUGAGGAUAAGCUUCAUGUGGGCAGUCCAGAUGUUUGCUCACGGAAAGGUGAUUCAUUUAGACAAAUCAGGGCUUUAAAAUUGUUUUCUUGAAGUGUAACAGAUACAGAAAAGUGCAUGCACUGUAAAUGUAUGGCUUGGUGAAUUUGUGCAAAGUGAACACACCUAUGUUACCCUGGUAACCACUAUGUAGAUCAAAAAGUAGAAUGUUAGAGUCACCCCAGAAGACCUCUAUACCCACUCCUCCCCCAGUUACUAGUCCUUUGAGGUAUAACCAGUAACCUAACUUUCAACACUUUAUAUUUUUGCCUGUUUUUGAACUUAUGUAUACUUGUGAAAUUUAUUCACAUUUUGUGUAGAUCUUCUUCACUUAUUCUCAUUGCUAUAUUGUAUUCCAUGAUAGACAUAUGCCACAGAUGGGGUGCCUGGGUGGCUCAGUUGCUUAAGCCUCUGACUCUGGAAUUCAGCUCAGGUCAGGGGCUUGUGGGAUCAAGCCCCGCUUUGGGCUCUUUGCUUACAGUGCAGAACCUGCUUGGGAUUCUCUCUCCCUCUCUCUCUGCCCCUCCCUGGCUUGCAUGUGCUCAUGUGCCCUCUCUCUCAAAAUAAGUAAGCAUUAAAAAAAGAAAUAUGCCACAGUUUAUUUAUCCAUUCUAUGUUGAUGGGGUUUUAUUGCACACAUUCCUACAAGUGGAAUUAUCAGCUCACAGUGUUUGCAUAUAUGCAUCUUUAAUGGACCCUGGAAUAGCAGUAAAUGAGAGUUAGGGGUGUAUUUUUUAUUUUUUUAACUUAGAGAGAGAGAGAGAAUAGGGGAGAGUGAGAGCGAGAGUACAUGCGUGAGAGAGAAUCUUAAGUAGGCUCCACGCUGAUUGUGGAGCCUGAUCCUGGGAUCCUGACCUGAGCUGAAAUCAAGAGUUGGUCAGACACUCAACCAGACUGAGCCACCCAGGCGCCCCAGGAAUGUAUUUUUGGUAGGGGACAAAGCACAAAGCUAAGAUCAGGCCCCAGGUUUCUGGUCUCCUUCCAGGCUUGGAUUACAGGGGAGUCAGAGCAAGGCACUUAACCUCUGUGUUUCCUCAACUGUAAAUUGGAAAUAAUUGGUACCUGCUCUAUUACUUUCUGUGGGAUGAAAAAGGCCUCUGCAAAAUCUCAAGCUGCACAAAUGGAAGCUCUCAUUAAAAUGGAAGCAGGGAAGGGGGGUUUUUAAUUAUCAAUGAGAACUAAAGAAUAACUGUAUUUAUGUGGAUUUCCAUUCCCAAUUAAGAAUCCAGAGAUUAGCUUAACUGCUCAGCUAGACUGAGUAGUAUUGCCAAAGGGGCCUGCAGUGUUAUUGUCUCAAACCCAAACACAGUAAGUAACUUCCCAGACCUAUCCUGUGAAUCUUGCUAGAAGUUUCCUCAACUGCCUGGAGCCCCAGGGGUCCUCCCAGUUCUUUCUCUUAGUUGCCAAUGCCUCAGCUUUUUCUUUCCCCCUGCAUCAGCUUGAGUUGGCCUACUCUGGGAAAAACUGGUUUGAUGCUGCCUGACCAGACCAAUUAUAAUGCACCAGGAAAGCAGAAGGACACCAUCAUCCCAUGUCUUCCUGCGUUAUUGAACAGAAAGUGUGAAUAUUGUCAAUGAGGUCCUUUGGUCUUACGGUACAACUAAAAGUUCACAGGCAUUUAUUCUACCAAAGGUUGUGCUAAAAUGAAUCAGGGACUGUAAAAUACAAUAAUUGAAAGUAGUGUCAACAUUUUUUCUAUCCUCCUAGUUCCCUUGCAGAUGGUUGCACAAAUGUUACACAAGUAGAAGGCAGUGCCCUCUUCUGGCCAAUGCCACACUUGCAUGGCUGUGGCUAAGAGGCUUGCCAACUCAUGGGACUGGUUUUUCACUGGGUAACAGGCUCAUCUUGGGGUUAGUCUUGAGUAAAUCACAUCUGGGGAUCCACCCUCCCUUUCCUCUUCAAAAGAGAAAAAUCAGAACUAUGAUAGUUACAUUUUAUGUGUGAUUAACAUUUAAAUCAGUAGACUUUUUUACCUUCCAUAAUGUGGGUAGUUACCUUAAGAGCAAAAACUGAGGUUUCCUGAAGAAAAAGAAAUUCUGCUUCAAGACUGCAAAAUAGAAACCUGGGUGUUUCCAGCCUUCAGAUUUUGAAUACAAGACUACAACGUCAACUCUUCCCUGAAUUUCUAGCUUGCCAGCCUGCUCUGCAAAUUCCAGACUUGUCUGCCCCCACAAUCGUGUGAGCCAAUUCCUUAAAAUAAAUCUGUGAAUGUGUGUGUGAGUGUGAGUGUGUGUGUGUGUGUGUGUGUGUAUCUUGUUGGUUUUGUUUCCCUGAAAACCCUAAUACAAAACCUAACUCUAAAACCCAUUUAUAUCAGUGACAUCUCAUUUGUAUAAACAUAAGGGGACAUGAAGUAUGGCAUCUGACCUGAGUUCAGGUUCAAGUCCCAGUAAUAUCUAAUUUACUAGUUUCAUGAACUAGCUACUUAAUUAUACUUAGCCUUGGUAUCUUCAUUUUUAUAAAGGGGAAAAUAGUAGCAUUUACUGAAUAUGAUGUUGUGAAGAUUCAGAGAAAACAUGUGCUUAGAAUAGUGAUUGGCUCAGAAUAAGUACUCAUUAAUGUUAGUAGUUAUUAUUAAUUAUUUUUAUUACUAAGGUCACAGAGGGAAGCUGCCAAAAAAAGGGUGAUUUAUAGAAUGAGGGGUACAUGGAAGGGUAGCUGGUCUUGUUCACUCCCCCACCCGUUGUCUCCCUAGACUCUUAGGGAGACAGGCAGUCUCUGCUUUUCACAACCUGUUCUUGGGCAGUAUUAUAAAGCCAUUUCUUGUAAAGUGUCCUAACUGUUCCCAUAGGAACCCAGUCAAGAUUAAAAGUUGGAUUCUGAAUUAAUGAUUAAGUCAUAUAUGAAACCAUUAUUAUGUCACAAAAGUAAAGUUCAGUAAAUCUUGGUAAUCAUUUAAAACAGUAAAACUAUGUAAGUCCUAACACAGGGCUUCCAUAAAAUUUAAUCUUCACUCCAUGGUACAAUUUACCAAUUUAAUUAGCAGUUUUGUUUGCCUUCUCACAAUUUAGAAGGCCUUCUGUAAGAUGAUUUGGAUCACUUUUUGGCCUUUUGGCUAAGAUCAAGUGUUGUAAGAUGAUUUGGUUGGUCAAAACCUUGUUUUUAAAGCUAGCCAAGUGGUUAUCUCCAAGUAUACGGAUUUGGGUUAAUUUAUAUAUAUGUGUGUAUUUAUAUAUUUAUCUCUGUGUUAUUCAGUGAUUCACCAGAAGGACCCACAGGACUCAAUAGCAGGUUAUAUACUCACUAAGAUUUAUUAUAGCAAAACGUAUAGAGCAAAAGCAGUGGGAAAAAGAUAUGCACUCAUGGGGUCCAGACAUUCAACACAGACUUCAGUGUCUUUCCACACAGGAGUGUGGAGGCCACACAGGAGUACUCUUUCUUUCGCCAUUAACUUCAGGGACAUAUAUAGAAUGUCUUUACCCAGAGAAGCCUGUUUGAGUCUCAGAGUCCAAGGCUUUUAUAGGGGGCUGGUCACAUAAGUAUAUCCUACUAUGUAUGCAACCAACUAUGGUAACCAAAACCCAACCCUAACAAUGAAACUAGGUGCACAUCAUUGAUCUUGAUGUUUGUGCAAAGUGCCUCUGAGAAGCACGUAUGGUAUGAUCCAUUGGUCCUGGUGUAUGUAAGUCAUCAACCACCAAUAUAAAGAACACUCUAAGGGCUGCCAAGGGUUAAUCAUGGGUCUCUUGAAGACAUGUAAGGAGCAAGCAACCAGAAAUGUUGUGUUAACUCUUUCCUCACAGUCUGUAUUUUCUGAAAUGUCUAUAAUUAAUGUCUAUUACUUUGAUAAUCACAAAAGUAACUAUUGAUAUAAAGGCAUCUACCGUUAAUGAUUUUCCUUUCUAGUUAUUUAAUGGUGUUGUUUUAUAAUCUCAGUAUAGUUCCCUGUAGUCAGCAGAGCUGUUGAGAGAAGUAAAGUCACCCUUCUAGACACUUCAUAGAUCCCCAUCAGAGCCUUCAUACUCUUUGGGAAAACCAUAAAAACAGGCCAGGACAAAGCCUGUGAAAUAUAGAAGGAACCACAGCAACACCUAAUUCAACUUCCCCAUCUUAGAGAUGAGGAAGUGGAAAUACCGAGCAGUGAAAGGGCUCAUCCCGGUUCUGAAUCUUAGAUCUUCUAAUUAAAAACCUCUUUUGGAACUCCUGAAAUGGGUCAAGGCAAUGUCUGCUCAGUUGCUUCUGAUGAUUGUCUUAACAUGGGCAGAAACUGGAGGAGCCCUGACUGGUGGGACUGCCUGAACUGAAUGUGCAUGGUCAAUCUCCUUUAGUCUAGACAGAGGCUUCCUAUCCUUCCCCAACUCCUUCCUUGUCCAGUGACUUGACAGAAGCACCAGGACUCUGUUAUCCAGAGCAUUGCCUAUGCCACUAGGUCAAUGGUCUAGUUUGGGACCUAGCAAGAGAUUAGUUUAAUCUUCACCAAAUUUCCCCCUUUUCUCCCUUUCAUUUACUCUCUUGUAGGCUGGAAGGUGGUAUCUGUCUCUACACUGGACUCCAAAUUCCUUGAGGGCCUUCUGGAUCCAGGUUAUAUAGUGGUUAUGAUUAUGGGUAGUAAAGUCAAAUGGUCAGAGGUUUGAAUUCUGGCUUAACAUCUCACUGGCUUGUGGGAUUUGAGUGAGUUACUUAAUGGGAAUAAUAGUACUUCCUUUAUAAGGUUACUGGGAAGAUGAAAGGAAGUAAUAACUCUUAACUAGAAUAGAAUUUGGUAUAUAAAAACGUUCAAUAAAUAUUGAAUAUUAUUUUUUAAA